rnacentral:rRNA from 1 species
UACAGAGGGGGCAAGCGUUGUUCGGAAUUACUGGGCGUAAAGGGCGCGUAGGCGGCCUUCUAAGUCAGACGUGAAAUCCCUCGGCUCAACCGGGGAACUGCGUCUGAGACUGGAAGGCUUGAAUCCGGGAGAGGGAUGUGGAAUUCCAGGUGUAGCGGUGAAAUGCGUAGAUAUCCGGAGGAACACCGGUGGCGAAGGCGGCAUCCUGGACCGGUAUUGACGCUGAGGCGCGAAAGCCAGGGGAGCAAACGGG